rnacentral:rRNA from 1 species
CCUACGGGAGGCAGCAGUGGGGAAUAUUGGGCAAUGGGCGCAAGCCUGACCCAGCAACGCCGCGUGAAGGAAGAAGGCUUUCGGGUUGUAAACUUCUUUUGACAGGGACGAAACAAAUGACGGUACCUGUAGAAUAAGCUCCGGCUAAAUACGUGCCAGCAGCCGCGGUAAUACGUAGGGAGCAAGCGUUAUCCGGAUUUA